rnacentral:rRNA from 1 species
AGAGUUUGAUCAUGGCUCAGGAUGAACGCUAGCUACAGGCUUAACACAUGCAAGUCGAGGGGAAACGACAUCGAAAGCUUGCUUUUGAUGGGCGUCGACCGGCGCACGGGUGAGUAACGCGUAUCCAACCUGCCCAUCACUUGGGGAUAACCUUGCGAAAGUAAGACUAAUACCCAAUGAUAUCUCUAGAAGGCAUCUGAAAGAGAUUAAAGAUUUAUCGGUGAUGGAUGGGGAUGCGUCUGAUUAGCUUGUUGGCGGGUAACGGCCACAAGCAACGAUCAGUAGGGUUCUGAGAGGAAGGUCCCCCANAUUGGAACUGAGACACGGUCCAAACUCCUACGAGAGGCA